ACAAAAUCUGAUAUGAUAUAGAAACUCAAUUGAAAAGAAAAAAAAAGUAUAAAGACCUAAUUGAAAAGUUAAUAAAACUAUAGGAACCGACCAAAUAAUUAAACCACGGAAUAAAGCUGAAAUUUCAGCAGGCACAGGUAACUAUCAUUGUUCUACUUACCAUACCGUGCCUUAGAUAGGGUAAAAUGCAAAAAUCCAAAUUAGUAGUUCUAGGGA